AUGACUCUCGGCAACGGAUAUCUCGGCUCUCGCAUCGAUGAAGAACGCAGCGAAAUGCGAUACUUGGUGUGAAUUGCAGAAUCCCGUGAACCAUCGAGUUUUUGAACGCAAGUUGCGCCCAAAGCCUUUUGGCCGAGGGCACGUCUUCCUGGGUGUCACGCAACAU
rnacentral:rRNA from 1 species